AUGGUUACUCACAGGCAGCUAUUGGUUGCGAUAGUGAAGAGCCAAGGCUACAGGGCUGAGAGAGAGAUGUGUGAGAAGAAGAAGGCAUGGAGUCGGAUAAGAGGAGAGGACCUGAGGACGACGAGGGAAAACUGUGACCAGAAAGACUAUAUUGUAUGGGACAAAAAAGUAUUUCCAAUUAAGAUCCAAGCAGAGAAGAGAAGCUAAGAAGAUCUAAAGUGAGAAUAGAAGCUUGGGCUAAUGACAUCAAUUUGGGAGUCAUUAUCAUAUAGUAAUGACAGAGCUGAGAUGAAUAAAGAUCUAUGAAUUCAAGGAAAA